rnacentral:rRNA from 1 species
AAGAGUUUGAUCAUGGCUCAGGAACAACGGCUGGCGGCAUGCCUAACACAUGCAAGUCGAACGAAGUCUUCGGACUAGUGGCGCACGGGUGCGUAACGCGUGGGAAUCUGCCCUUGGGUGCGGAAUAACUUCUCGAAAGGGAUGCUAAUACCGCAUAAUGUCGUAAGACCAAAGAUUUAUCGCCCAAGGAUGAGCCCGCGUAAGAUUAGCUAGUUGGUGGGGUAAAAGCCUACCAAGGCGACGAUCUUUAGCUGGUCUGAGAGGAUGAUCAGCCACACUGGGACUGAGACACGGCCCAGACUCCUACGGGAGGCAGCAGUGGGGAAUAUUGGACAAUGGGCGAAAGCCUGAUCCAGCAAUGCCGCGUGAGUGAUGAAGGCCCUAGGGUUGUAAAGCUCUUUUACCAGGGAUGAUAAUGACAGUACCUGGAGAAUAAGCUCCGGCUAACUCCGUG